GACGCACGCCCCCGCCGGCACAGGCCAGCCCUUCCACGCGCCAGCCCUGUGCCUCCCCCCACCACCCGCGUUGCCCUGGGGCUCCUGUUCCUCCUUCCCUCUCCGCGUCUGCCCCCCAGCCGCCGCCGCUGCCACCUGGCAAUCGCACGCACCGUCGCACUCCGCUCCCACCCCUUCCUUACCCGCGGCCCCCAGGCAGUGCCGGCAGUUUUACAGAGGUGCACGGUGGGCUCCGGUAAAGCUCCAGAUACAGAGCCACGCCGGCAGCACCAGGGGGACGAUGCGGCUCUGAGACGCGGACCGGCCAGCUCUCCUCGGUGCAGCGGGUGCAGCUUGGACGCAAGGGCAAGCCUGCCGCCAGCCGGUCAAUAGACAAGGCAUUGGGAAACAGAACCAAACGUCCAGAAGAUUCCCGUAGAGAACUUACGUCUGUUUCUGGACGUUAUCUUUUACACCCUGGACAAGGCUCUGCAGGCUGGAAGAAGCGACAGCCUCCAGUUCGUGGGCCUCCUUUACCUGAAUCCUCUGGCCAGAAAGACUGGGACGUUUCUACUGGAGUUUUAGUUUCCUGAAAUGCACUGAGAAGCUAGUAGAGCCUGCCCUGGGGGCAAAGCAUUGAGAAAAAAGACGAAAAUUAAAAGAAAAAAAAAAAGGAAACUGGCCCCUGUUCGACAACUGCCUUCGGUUGCGUAUUUUUCAACAUCCGCAAGUAGUGUUUUUGUGUUCUGUCCAGAGUUUAUAUUUGUACUAAGCAGGGAGGACGUGCUGUCAGGGGAAGGCUGGGAAUCUCCCCCCUCCCUGUGACCCCACUCCAGGCAGAUCUUCCUCCCCGACGUUGCACCCAACCAUGCUGCCAAAGGUGACUAGAGAUUUCCUCUGACUUCAAUGUUACCUUCUUUCUCCUCCUAAUUCACUGGACAGUUUUCCUAAGUCUCCUUGGCUGUCUCCUGCUCAUCACUCUGACUUUUUUUUUGUUGGAAAGCCCCACGGCUUCUCCCUUUUCUAACUCCCUCUUUUGUUAAUCACCUGGCCUAGUAAAACUCCAAAAUUUAAAUCACCCCCUCAAGAAUCUCUUUUCAGAUGCCUACCCAAUGCCUACUGAAUCUCUUUUCAGAUGCCUCUUUUCAUCUGCCUACUACCAGAUGCCCACUGGUAUGUCCGGAGGCGUCUGAAACUUACAAUAGCUGACCGCACCUGUGAUUCUGCCCCCCCUUCUCCCCCACCGCUCCCUCAACCUUGCCCUUCCAAGGAACGUCAACUCCGUUUUUCCCCAAAUCCUUAAGUCACCUUUCAUUCUUCUCUUCGUCUUCCCCUCAUAUUCCAUCGGUCCACAAGUCCUGUCAACUCCAGCUUCAAAAUAUACACGGAAUCAUCAAGCUUCCUCAACACCCACAGUGCCCCAGCCUGAUGCAAGUAUCCCUCAUUUCUUAGUCGGAGAGCAGGAAUGGUGUCUCAGUUCACCUCCUGUGUCUUUGCACCAGUGUUUUCUAGCACAGCUUCUACUGACAUAUUGUAUAUUGCAAAAUGGUGAGCAUCCCUGGUCCCCAGUUAUUGUGACAACUAAUAUCCCCUCACCCACAUGCAUGCACACAUAGGCAUCUCUGAACAUCUUGGCAAGAAGGAAGUCAUAGAAAGAUAUAGCAUGCUCAUGAAUUGGAAGAAUUAAUAUUGUUAAAAAGUCCAUAUUUCCCAAAGCAAUCUACAGAUUCAGUGCAACCUCUAUCAAAAUCUCAAUGGCAUUUUUCACAGAAAUAGGAAAAAACAAUUCUAAAAUUUGUAUGGAACCACAGAGGACCCCAAAUAGCCAAAGCUACCUUGAGAAACAAGAACAAAGCUGGAGGCAUCAUAAUUCCUGAUUUCAAACUGUAUUACAAAGCCAUAGUAAUCAAAACAGUAUAGCAUUAGCAUAAAACAGACACAUAGUCCAACGGAACAGAAAAGAGAGCCCAGAAAUAAACCUAGGCAUACAUGGUCAAUUAAUUUACGACAAAAAGAAAAAGCCAAAAAUAUAUGAUGGGGAAAGGGAAGUCUCUUCAAUAAACGGUGUUGGGAAAACUGGACAACCAUACACACAAAAAAUGGAACUGGACCACUACCUUAUAUCAUACACAAAAAAUUAAAUCAAAGUGGAUUACAGAUCUGAAUGUAAGACCUGAAACAAUAAAACACCUAGAAGAAAACAUAGGCAGUAGGCUCUUUGACAUUGGUCUUGGUGAUGAAUUUUUUUGAAUUUGACAUUAAAAGCAAAGGCAACAAAAAGCAAAACAAUAAACAGGUGAGACUAUCUCAAACCAAAAAGCUUCUGCACAGCAAAGGAAACCAUCAACAAAAUGAAAAGGCAACCUAUUGAAUGAGAGAACAUAUUUGCAAAUCAUAUAUCUGAUAAGGAACUCAUAUCUAAAACAUAUUUUAAAAAGCUCAUACUACGGGGCACCUGUGUGGCUCAGUUGGUUAAGCGUCUGACUUUGGCUGGGUUAUGAUCUCACCAUUCAGGUUCGUGAGUUCCAGCCCUGCUCUGCGUUGACAGCACCUGCUUGGGAUCCUCUGUCUCCCUCUUUCUUUAUCCCUCCCCCACUCACAUAUGUGAAAGCACCCGAACAGGCGUGCAUGCUCUCUGUCUCAAAAACAAACAUUAAAAAAAAAAAAAAAAGCAACAAAAACCUCAUUACUCAAUAGCAAACAAAAAAUCAAUUAGAAAAUGGGCAGAGAAUCUGAACAGACAUUUUCAGUGAAGACAUACGCAUGACCAAGAAGUACAAGAAAAUGUGCUCAAUGUCACUCAACAUCAGGGAAAUGAAAAUCAAAACCACAAGGAGAUAUUGCCCUUAUACCUGUUGGAAUGGUAUAACGAGAAAACAAAAACAAAAACAAGAAACAACAAGUGUUGGUGAGGAGGUAGAGAAAAAGGAACUAUUGCGCACUGUUGGUGGGAAUGUGAAUUAAUGCAGCCACUGUGGAAAGCAGUAUGCAGGUUCCUCAAAAAAUUAAAAAUAGAACUACCACAUGCCCCAGAAAUUCUACUUCUGGGUAUUUGCCCAAAGGAAACAAAACACUAAUUUGAAAGGAUAUGUGGCAACCCCAUGUUCAUUGCAGCGUUAUUUACAAUAGCCAAGACAUGAAAGAAACUUGUGUCCAUCAGUGGAUAAAGAAAACGUGAU